rnacentral:rRNA from 1 species
AGUGAACGCUGGCGGUAGGCCUAACACAUGCAAGUCGAACGGCAGCACAGUAAGAGCUUGCUCUUACGGGUGGCGAGUGGCGGACGGGUGAGGAAUACAUCGGAAUCUACUUUUUCGUGGGGGAUAACGUAGGGAAACUUACGCUAAUACCGCAUACGACCUACGGGUGAAAGCAGGGGAUCUUCGGACCUUGCGCGAUUGAAUGAGCCGAUGUCGGAUUAGCUAGUUGGCGGGGUAAAGGCCCACCAAGGCGACGAUCCGUAGCUGGUCUGAGAGGGUGAUCAGACACACUGGAACUGAGACACGGUCCAGACUCCUACGGGAGGCAGCAGUGGGGAAUAUUGGACAAUGGGCGCAAGCCUGAUCCAGCCAUACCGCGUGGGUGAAGAAGGCCUUCGGGUUGUAAAGCCCUUUUGUUGGGAAAGAAAAGCAGCAGGUUAAUACCCCGCUGUUCUGACGGUACCCAAAGAAUAAGCACCGGCUAACUUCGUG